GUUUGCUACUGCGCACUCUCAGUUAUGUUUGUUUGGUUUUUUUUGGUGCCGGGGAUCGAACUAGGGUGCUUGAACUACUGCAUACUCUCAAUCAGCCUGAGGUCCAGCUUGGCUGUUCUAGGACAUCAUAUGAAUACAAUCAUACAAUGUGGACUCUGGGCAAGGCUUCCACCACUCCUCCUGAUGUUUCUGAGAUUCAUCCAGGUUCCUGCAUAUCUUUGUGUCUUCACCGCCUACAAAGCUCUGGUUCUCAAUCAAGUGCUCUCAGCGAAAGAAAUUCAUAAUUGGAAUCCAGGAAGGCAUGACUGAUGGCCAACCCAUGCUUGUGAGCCUUGAUAGGCUGGGUCUGAGGGUCCUGAGACUGAAAUAAGGAAUUCAAACCACCCUCUUGCAGCAGGUUUGCCGACUCAUGGAAAAUGAAUUUUCCGGUCUUGUAAGAGGCUUGGGAAAGGUUUGUUAGACAGAGAUUUAG
rnacentral:lncRNA from 1 species